rnacentral:rRNA from 1 species
AAUUCAGUUUAAUUUGAUAUUGUAAGUCUUACUUUGUUUUUUAUUUUUAAUUGGGAGAAAUAUCUUUGGUUUUAGUAUAAAUAAAGAACGAAAAAUUUUGUUGUUAUAGUUUAUUAGUACUGUGAAGGAAUAUUGAUGAAAUAUCUUGAAAAUAUAUAUUUUUAAAAGUAGAUUUAAUUUAUUGUACCUUUUGUAUCAGGGUUAAUUAAAUAUAUUUACUUUAUUUUAUUUUCUCGAUUUCAAAAGAGCUAAUUUCAAAUUAUUGUUGUUGUAAUAUAACCAUAUUUAAUAUGAUUUUAGAGGAGACAUUCCAUUCGAUUUUGAAGGUAUCUAGUUUUUUAAGAAAUAAAUUUAAUUUAGAUUUGAUUUUUAAUUAAUUAAUUUAUUAAUUAUUUAUUAAUCAAUAUUGAGAUAUUAGGGGAUAAGCUCUAAUAUAUUCUAAAAGGUUCGUUUGAUUAAAUUUUUGUAGGCUUUAAAUUAGCCAUCAUUAGUGAGUUCGUUGUAGUUCAGAUUAAUUAAAUUAAGAUUUUCUUGUUUUUAGAAGGCUAUUAAAAUGAUAUUUUUAAUAUUAUAAAAUUUGUAAUAAUGAUUAAAUUAGUAUAUUUAAGUUGUGUAUCAUUUAUUUUUUGGUAUAAUUAAAUAAGGAAUUCGGCAAAUUUAACACUCGCCUGUUUAUCAAAAACAUGUCCUCUUGUUUAUAUAUGAGGUCUGACCUGCCCGGUGAGAAUUAUUUUAACGGCCGCAGUAUUUUGACUGUGCAAAGGUAGCAUAAUCAUUAGUCUUUUAAUAGGGGGCUGGUAUGAAGGGUUUGACGAGGUGUUUACUGUCUCAUUUAAUUUGUAUUUAGAAUUUAACUUUUCAGUUAAAAGGCUGAAAUUUUAUUGGAAGACGAGAAGACCCUAUAGAGCUUUAUAAUUAAAAUUAUAAGUAUUCUUUGUUUAUUAUUUGUUAUUAUUAUUUUAAUUAUUUUGUUGGGGUGACAAGAAUAUAUAAUUAACUUUUUUAUUUAAUUAACAUUGAUUUAUGAUUAUUAGAUCCAUUAUUAGUGAUUGUUAGAUUAAGUUACCUUAGGGAUAACAGCGUAAUCUUCCUCCAGAGUUCAUAUUUACGGGAAGGCUUGCGACCUCGAUGUUGGAUUAAGAUAAUAGUUAGGUGUAGCCGCUUAACAUGUAGGUCUGUUCGACCUUUAAAUUCUUACAUGAUCUGAGUUCAAACCGGUUUAAGCCAGGUUGGUUUCUAUCUCCAAUUUAUAAACAAUCUUUAGUACGAGAGGACCAAGAUUAUGAAAUAAUUUUUUAAUUGUUG